rnacentral:rRNA from 1 species
GACGAACGCUGGCGGCGUGCUUAACACAUGCAAGUCGAACGGAAAGGCCCUGCUUUUGUGGGGUGCUCGAGUGGCGAACGGGUGAGUAACACGUGAGUAACCUGCCCUUGACUUUGGGAUAACUUCAGGAAACUGGGGCUAAUACCGGAUAGGAGCUCCUGCUGCAUGGUGGGGGUUGGAAAGUUUCGGCGGUUGGGGAUGGACUCGCGGCUUAUCAGCUUGUUGGUGGGGUAGUGGCUUACCAAGGCUUUGACGGGUAGCCGGCCUGAGAGGGUGACCGGCCCCAUUGGGACUGAGAUACGGCCCAGACUCCUACGGGAGGCGGCAGUGGGGAAUAUUGCACAAUGGGCGGAAGCCUGAUGCAGCAACGCCGCGUGCGGGAUGACGGCCUUCGGGUUGUAAACCGCUUUCGCCUGUGACGAAGCGUGAGUGACGGUAAUGGGUAAAGAAGCACCGGCUAACUACGUG